UGCCAGCCGCCGCGGUAAUACGGAGGGUCCAAGCGUUAUCCGGAUUUAUUGGGUUUAAAGGGUGCGCAGGUGGUUUGGUAAGUUAUCUGUGAAAUUCCCGGGCUCAACCUGGGCAUGUCAGAUGAUACUGCUAGACUCGAGUACAGGAGAGGGUAGUGGAAUUUCCGGUGUAGCGGUGAAAUGCGUAGAGAUCGGAAGGAACACCAGUGGCGAAGGCGGCUACCUGGCCUGAUACUGACACUGAGGCACGAAAGCGUGGGGAGCAAACAGGAUUAGAUA
rnacentral:rRNA from 1 species